AGUGUCCUACGGGAGGCAGCAGUAGGGAAUCUUCCACAAUGGACGAAAGUCUGAUGGAGCAACGCCGCGUGAGUGAAGAAGGGUUUCGGCUCGUAAAGCUCUGUUGGUAGUGAAGAAAGAUAGAGGUAGUAACUGGCCUUUAUUUGACGGUAAUUACUUAGAAAGUCACGGCUAACUACGUGCCAGCAGCCGCGGUAAUACGGAGGUGGCAAGCGUUGUCCGGAUUUAUUGGGCGUAAAGC
rnacentral:rRNA from 1 species